rnacentral:tRNA from 1 species
GGAGAGCUGGAUGAGCGGUUUAAGUCACUACCCUGGAAAGGUAGCAUAGGGGCAACUUUAUCGAGGGUUCGAAUCCCUCGCUCUCCGCCA